GCUUACGGCCACACCGCCUGGUUCACGCCCGAUCUCGUUUGAUCUCGGAGGCUAAGAUAGGGUGGGCCUGGUUAGUACUUGGAUGGGAGACCGCCUGGGAAUACCAGGUGUUGUAAGAU
rnacentral:rRNA from 1 species